rnacentral:ncRNA from 1 species
AUAAAAACUUUGAUAGGAAGAAGUAAUAUGAGAAUGUAGUCUCAGCGAUUGAGGGAUGGUGUAAGCCUCAAACGAAAGCUUGUAUGAAUAACAUCCUUGAGUUUCUAACCGAAAUCUUUUAGAUAGUAGACUUAGACGGGACCCUUCCGUUACAAUGGGACAAUCUCAAAUUUGAAAUUCGAAUUUGGCAUUGAUUAAAGUGAGCAUUUGCUAACAUAGGUGGUACCACGGAAGUAUAUUAACCUUUCGUCCUAUAU